rnacentral:lncRNA from 1 species
ACCAACAGGUUGGAUGGUUAGACCUAUUUAAUUUUACCAACCAGACAUCAGUCGACCUUUCUUAUCGACUCCAAUAAUAAUUAUUGUUGGUGCAAAAAUUUGCUUGCGCCGGAGAAGCUGGAGUCGAGGGAGUCGCGGUCGCCGUCGGGACCUGCAAAAGAAGUCUAAACCGGAGGUGGGGUUGCUCCAGCAAGACCCUCCGACGCUCAAGUCAGUUCUCUGCCUCAACAAGAAUGGAGUGCUCGAACAAAAAUUUUAGUAGAGUUUCUAGGUAAAAAUGAGAGC